rnacentral:rRNA from 1 species
CCUACGGGCGGCAGCAGUGGGAAUAUUGGACAAUGGGCGAAAGCCUGAUCCAGCCAUGCCGCGUGUGUGAAGAAGGCCUUCGGGUUGUAAAGCACUUUCAGUGGGGAAGAAAGCCUUGGGGCUAAUACCCUCGAGGAAGGACAUCACCCACAGAAGAAGCACCGGCUAACUCCGUGCCAGCAGCCGCGGUAAUACGGAGGGUGCGAGCGUUAAUCGGAAUUACUGGGCGUAAAGCGCGCGUAGGCGGUCUGAUAAGCCGGUUGUGAAAGCCCCGGGCUCAACCUGGGAACGGCAUCCGGAACUGUCAGGCUAGAGUGCAGGAGAGGAAGGUAGAAUUCCCGGUGUAGCGGUGAAAUGCGUAGAGAUCGGGAGGAAUACCAGUGGCGAAGGCGGCCUUCUGGACUGACACUGACGCUGAGGUGCGAAAGCGUGGGUAGCAAACAGGAUUAGAUACCCGAGUAGUC